rnacentral:rRNA from 1 species
UACGUAGGGGCCAAGCGUUGUCCGGAAUUAUUGGGCGUAAAGCGCGCGCAGGCGGUCCUUUAAGUCUGAUGUGAAAGCCCACGGCUCAACCGUGGAGGGUCAUUGGAAACUGGGGGACUUGAGUGCAGAAGAGAAGAGUGGAAUUCCACGUGUAGCGGUGAAAUGCGUAGAGAUGUGGAGGAACACCAGUGGCGAAGGCGACUCUUUGGUCUGUAACUGACGCUGAGGCGCGAAAGCGUGGGGAGCAAACAGG